rnacentral:pre_miRNA from 1 species
UCUUAUGGAUGAGCAAAGAAAGUGGGUUCUAAAGAUGGAAUCUACUCCUGGUGAAGAUGCUAUGAA